rnacentral:tRNA from 1 species
CUUUAUGUAAGCUAAGAAAAGCUGUUGGGCCCAUAACCCAAAAAUAGUUAAACUCGUAAAGA